GACGAACGCUGGCGGCGUGCUUAACACAUGCCAGUCGAACGGAAAGGCCCUGCUUUUGUGGGGUGCUCGAGUGGCGAACGGGUGAGUAACACGUGAGUAACCUGCCCUUGACUUUGGGAUAACUUCAGGAAACUGGGGCUAAUACCGGAUAGGAGCUCCUGCUGCAUGGUGGGGGUUGGAAAGUUUCGGCGGUUGGGGAUGGACUCGCGGCUUAUCAGCUUGUUGGUGGGGUAGUGGCUUACCAAGGCUUUGACGGGUAGCCGGCCUGGGAGGGUGACCGGCAAAAUAGGGACGGAGAAACGGCCCAGAGACAAAAGGGAGGCAGGAGUGGGGAAGAUUGCACAAUGGGCGGAAGCAUGAUGCAGAAACGCCGCGUGCGGGAUGACGGCAUUCGGGUUGUAAAACGCUUUCGCCUGUGACGAAGCGUGAGUGACGGUAAUGGGUAAAGAAGCACCGGCUAACUACGU
rnacentral:rRNA from 1 species